rnacentral:rRNA from 1 species
UACGUAGGGUGCGAGCGUUGUCCGGAAUUAUUGGGCGUAAAGAGCUUGUAGGCGGUCUGUCGCGUCUGCUGUGAAAAUCCGGGGCUCAACCCCGGACUUGCAGUGGGUACGGGCAGACUAGAGUGUGGUAGGGGAGACUGGAAUUCCUGGUGUAGCGGUGGAAUGCGCAGAUAUCAGGAGGAACACCGAUGGCGAAGGCAGGUCACUGGGCCGCAACUGACGCUGAGGAGCGAAAGCAUGGGGGAGCGAACAGG